rnacentral:rRNA from 1 species
AGGGUCAUUGGAAACUGGGGAACUUGAGUGCAGAAGAGAAAAGCGGAAUUCCACGUGUAGCGGUGAAAUGCGUAGAGAUGUGGAGGAACACCAGUGGCGAAGGCGGCUUUUUGGUCUGUAACUGACGCUGAGGCGCGAAAGCGUGGGGAGCAAACAGGAUUAGAUACCCUGGUAGUCCACGCCGUAAACGAUGAGUGCUAAGUGUUAGAGGGUUUCCGCCCUUUAGUGCUGCAGCUAACGCAUUAAGCACUCCGCCCUGGGGAGUACGGUCGCCAGACUGAAACUCAAAGGAAUUGACG